rnacentral:misc_RNA from 1 species
CAGAGUUGUAAAACUCCCAACCCAUGUGAACAUACCUGUUGCCUCGGCGGCCUACCCGUUAGCUACCCUGUAGUUACCCUGUAGUCCGCCGGCGGAAUACAACAAAACUCUUGUUUAUUAUAUAUCUCUGAGUCAACUAUAAAUAAGUUA